GAUUUCAAGAUGGGAACUGCUUCUAUUUGUUGAUUAGUUGUGGUUAUGCAUAAAUUGCAGGGUUAGCAGGGGGCUACAGCAGAUGUACACUGCUAUGAUGGUCAAUCAAAGAGAUGGACCAGGAUAACACCCCACGGAGAACCCCCUACACCAAGGGCUGCACAUGUAGCAACUGCUGUUGGAACCAUGGUGGUUAUUCAGGGUGGAAUUGGUCCAUCUGGUUUGUCAGCGGAGGAUCUUCAUGUUCUUGAUCUCACACAACAAAAACCACGAUGGCAUAGGGUUGUUGUUCAAGGACCUGGACCUGGUGCAAGGUAUGGGCAUGCCAUGGCUCUAGUAGGACAACGAUAUCUCAUGUCAAUUGGUGGAAACGAUGG